rnacentral:rRNA from 1 species
CCUAAGUGGGUGGUAAACUCCAUCUAAGGCUAAAUACAACCACGAGACCGAUAGCACACAAGUACCGUGAGGGAAAGGUGAAAAGAACUUUGAAGAGAGAGUUCAAGAGUACGUGAAACUGAGGUGGUGUAAACGGACGAGAUCGAAAAGUCCGAAUGGAGAGAUUCACGUUCAUCCGUGCCGGUGGCCGCCGGGUACAGAUGGUGCGGUCUGCUCGGGCCUCUCGGGGUGCCGGGUCUGUUCCGUAUUCACUCGUCCCGGUGGUAUCUGUCCGGUGCGGUGAGCUGCACUUCUCUCCUAGUAGGACGUCGCGACCCGUUGGGAUAUUAGGCCGAUCAUAUGGCCCGCGGUGGAGCCCACGCCCGAGCGCAGAUUUAUUUUUGCGUUGCGGUGCAUGGACCCGCGGUGACCUGAUCGGCUCCCGACGGUAUCAAAGCAUUGGGAAGGAACCGCACAGAGGAUGCGUCCGAUGCCCUCAACGGGCUAUCACUCGGACAGGUUCGAACCCGGUCAGCGGCGCUACUGCUUUCGAUACUCGUCCGA